rnacentral:rRNA from 1 species
CACCCAGGACGGUGGAUCACUCGGCUCGUGGGUCGAUGAAGAACGCAGCAAAUUGCGCGUCGACAUGUGAACUGCAGGACACAUGAACAUCGACGUUUCGAACGCACGUUGCGGUCCAUGGAUUCCGUUCCCGGGCCACGUCUGGCUGAGGGUCG